rnacentral:rRNA from 1 species
GGAUUGGGAGGGUUCUACGGAACCCGUUUGGUGAAUCUAGUGCCGAGAAAAGCCUUCUAUGUGUUGAAUUUCUAGUACCCGUACCCCAAACCGACACAGGUGGGUGGGUAGAGCAUACCUAGGGGCGCGUGAUAACUCUCUCUAAGGAACUCGGCAAAAUGGCCCUGUAACUUCGGGAUAAGGGGUGCCUGCGUGAGCAGGCCGCAGUGAAAUGGCUCUGGCGACUGUUUACCAAAAACACAGGUCUCUGCUAAGUCGUAAGACGAUGUAUAGGGGCUGACUCCUGCCCAGUGCCGGAAGGUUAAGGAAGUUGGUUAGCGCAAGCGAAGCUGGCGACCGAAGCCCCGGUGAACGGCGGCCGUAACGAUAACGGUCCUAAGGUAGCGAAAUUCCUUGUCGGGUAAGUUCCGACCCGCACGAAAGGAGUAACGAUCAGAGCGCUGUCUCGGAGAGAGACACGGCGAAAUAGGAUUGUCCGUGAAGAUACGGACUACCUGCACCCGGACAGAAAGACCCUAUGAAGCUUUACUGUAACUUGGAAUUGUGUUCGGACUUUGUCUGCGCAGAAUAGGUGGGAGGCUAUGAAACGUUCCUCGCGGGGAACUGGAGCCAUCGUUGAGAUACCACUCUGGCAGAGUCUGGAUUCUAACCUACGGGGACAGUUCCAGGUGGGCAGUUUGACUGGGGCGGUCGCCUCCUAAAAUGUAACGGAGGCGCGCAAAGGUUCCCUCAGGCUGGUUGGAAAUCAGCCAUAGAGUGUAAAAGCAUAAGGGAGCUUGACUGUGAGACCUACAAGUCGAGCAGGGACGAAAGUCGGCUUUAGUGAUCCGACGGCACUGAGUGGAAGGGCCGUCGCUCAACGGAUAAAAGUUACUCUAGGAUAACAGGCUGAUCUCCCCCAAGAGUUCACAUCGACGGGGAGGUUUGGCACCUCGAUGUCGGCUCGUCGCAACCUGGGGCGGUAGUACGUCCCAAGGGUUGGGCUGUUCGCCCAUUAAAGCGGCACGUGAGCUGGGUUCAGAACGUCGUGAGACAGUUCGGUCCAUAUCCGGUGUAGGCGUAGGAGCAUUGAAGGGAUCUCUCCUUAGUACGAGAGGACCGGGAGGGACGUACCUCUGGUGUACCUGUUAUCGUGCCAACGGUAAACGCAGGGUAGCCAUGUACGGAGUGGAUAACCGCUGAAAGCAUCUAAGUGGGAAGCCCACCUUAAGAUGAGUGCUCCCUUGAGGCCACGGGAAGACGACCCGUUUGAUAGGCGCUAGGUGGAAGUGCAGUAAUGCAUGCAGCCGAGGCGUACUAAUAGGCCGAUGGCUUGUCC